GACGGGGGAUGCAAGCGUUAUCCGGAAUGAUUGGGCGUAAAGGGUCCGCAGGUGGCCCGGUCAGUCCGCUGUCAAAGCCUGGGGGCUCAACCCUGGAGAGGCGGCGGAGACCACCGGGCUUGAGUCCGGUAGGGGGCAGAGGGAAUUCCCGGUGGAGCGGUGAAAUGCGUAGAUAUCUGGAGGAACACCGGUGGCGAAGGCGGCAUCCUGGACCGGCAUUGACGCUGAGGGCGCGAAAAGCCAGGGGGAGCCAAAACGGG
rnacentral:rRNA from 1 species